UCAAGUGCCGCUUUGUAUUUGCUCGGCGGUGAACAACGGUUCGCGUUCCUCAUGUCAACUUGCAGCCCUGACAGGUGGUUUAAACCUACCGAGAGUCUCUUUUCCCCAGGGCAACCACACCGAUAGCACGGAGGUCACUUGGAGGAUCCUCCGGUCGCGGACACCAGUGGUCUCGGAUGCACUUUGCAAUAAGUGAUUUGCAUAAAACCAACAACCCAGUGCUGCUGUCAGGAGACGCUACAGUUAAAGGCUGCCAUUCUGAGGGAUACGCACGUGCAUUAUUCUUGGUCAGCCGGUAGCCUGCGCCACCGUGUGCUUGCACUGUGGAGAAAAACGCCACGUGAAGAAAAUCGAACCAAG